rnacentral:rRNA from 1 species
AUUGAACGCUGGCGGCAGGCCUAACACAUGCAAGUCGAGCGGAGCGGCGGACGGGUGAGUAAUGCCUAUGAAUCUGCCUGGUCGUGGGGGAUAACGUCCGGAAAAGGGCGCUCAUAACUCAUGCUAUCAGAUGAGCCUAGGUAGGAUUAGCUAUGUGGUGGGGUAAAGUCCUACCAAGGCGACGAUCCGUAACUGGUCUGAGAGGAUGAUCAGUCACACUGGAACUGAGACACGGUCCAGACUCCUACGGGAGGCAGCAGUGGGGAAUAUUGGACAAUGGGCGAAAGCCUGAUCCAGCCAUGCCGCGUGUGUGAAGAAGGUCUUCGGAUUGUAAAGCACUUUAAGUUGGGAGGCGUUACCAACAGAAGAAGCACCGGCUAACUUCGUGCCAGCAGCCGCGGUAAUUC